rnacentral:rRNA from 1 species
UACGUAGGGGGCAAGCGUUGUCCGGAUUUAUUGGGCGUAAAGAGCGUGUAGGCGGCCUGGAAGGUCAGCUGUGAAAACUCGAGGCUCAACCUCGAGACGUCGGUUGAAACCACCUGGCUAGAGUCCGGAAGAGGAGUGUGGAAUUCCCGGUGUAGCGGUGAAAUGCGCAGAUAUCGAGAGGAACACCUGCGGCGAAGGCGGGUUGCUGGGCUGACACUGACGCUGAUGUGCGAAAGCUAGGGGAGCGAACGGG